rnacentral:lncRNA from 1 species
GCACUGUAUGGCAAGUCUCCAAGACUGGGAAGCACCGCUUUACAUAGUCCUCAUGGAUUCCAAAGCAUGAGUUGGGCUGCUUUUGAAUAGUGGGAGACGGGAGUUUACCCCGAUCACAGAAACCAUACCAACUGAAAGACAAAUCAGCAUCUUGCUGGACGACCCCUCACAGAGCUCCUAGAUCCUUGAAGUGUGAACUUCAGCAGCUGAGAGGUAACAAUUGUACACAAAUCACACUAUCAUGCUCCAACGAAUGAUGUGGCCCUUAUGAAACAAGAUGUUAGAAUGAAUUCUUUAUAGUCUCAGCGCAAAAAAGAUUCAAGUACUGUUUAAGGUUUUUGUUUGGUACUACUUUCUUCUCUUCAAACAGCAUUUCCUGAGGUUAACUUUCUUGGAAGAAGUGGAAUUAAUGGAGUUCUCACAUUCAGCCCUUCAAUUUAUCAUCGCUGAAUUCUUGAGUUAUGCUCAAAUGAGUAAUACAAUUUGUGUUUAGAAAACACAAAGUGGAAAAUUUAGAGACAUUUAGAUUAUGUUUCUAUGUUCAUUUCAAAUGCCUUGGGAGCAUUUACUUCUUAAACAUUUAGUGAGGAAUAAACCAAAUAUAAUCAGGGCCCUCCUUUAUUUCCCCAGCAAUCUGGGAUAGAUCAUACUCACAAUGUAUUUCCCAAGUAUCCCUUGUUACUAAAAGGCAGUCUGUUCCCCGUAAGUACUCUCUGAGAACAGCCAUCCCAGGUAUCCUUGAAAAGCAAAUGAGAGCUGAGCAUGGCAAACACACGAGGUCCAGCUGUGUACAAAUCAUCAGUAGAUGGCACACACAUGCAUGUAUGUGCCUAACAUGAAACCAGAUAUCCUUUCUCAGAUGACAGAUGUCAAGGCUGCAGUUUUCUUCUCUUGCCUCUUACUUUGCUGAAUAUAAACUAAGAUGAGAUUUCUAUUUAAUACUUAC